UAUUCAGUAUAUUUUAUUAUUCUAAUCGCAUGUCUUGUUCAGCAGUUGUCCUUUCUCUAGCAUUGCUCACGUGUAUUUUUUUUUUUUUUUUUUAAUUUUCAGGAAGGUAGGGGCUUUGGGACCCAAUGGAAAGCAGAAGACGCAGUGAUCUGCCGUUUAAAUCCCUGUCUCUGAAUCUACACCCUCAGGGAAUUUCAUGAGAGAGGAAAGGCUGAGGUCAGAAUUCUUUUAUGAGAAGACUUCUUCAGUGAUGAGAGAAGUCUCCAGACUCAGGUGGGAAUCCUUAAAGGAUGAAAUCCUCCAAUAUGAAGCAGCUUUCCUCAGCAGACAAAAGUACAACCAAGGACAAAGAAAUUUAUUUGGAAAAACUCAAGACAGAACACUCAAGGAAAAAAAAAUGUUCAAUUGCUCCUGUCCCAAGCAGUUGCAAGAUACACCAUCUGUAUUUAAAAUCACCUGUGAAGAUAAUGGCCUCACUCUGCUCAGCUACAGAGCCUUGUGCCAGGAUGCUCCUCCUUCAAGAAGAUCUUCCAUACUCUUUGGGCUCUGACCACCCACACCAGAUGUGUGUCAACCAUCUCUACAGCUCCAGAAACUCCAGUGGAGACUAGCAGCUCGGUUUUAUAAUAAUGCAUCCAAGUAUGACACAGAUUUCUAAAAUAUGCACCUGCAUGUGCAAAUAAAACUGUCAUAUAUGAAUUUUUCA
rnacentral:lncRNA from 13 species